GAAUGGAUUUUUUUCAAACAUAUUUGGUAGAAGAUCAGACAGUGAGAGACAUCUUCUGUGUGAAUCUUGCUGUGGGGGAAGCUCUAACUGCAAUCGCGACCUCUUAUGUAGUCACCAUAAUCAAACAUCUGUUAACGGCUCAUGCACAUCAACAAGUGGAUGCACUAGUAAUUUGGUUUGCCUUUUUGGUAAAUGCCAGUGCCCGACUCAUGAUUAUUACUGGUCAAUAAAUACUUGUACUUUACUUAAAGGAAACAACCAUGCCUGUGCAACCACAAAUGAAUGCAGAAAACCUUUUCAUUGCGUGAAUAAUUCAUGUAAAUGUCCUGCAGAUCAAUACUGGGAUGGAUCACUUUGCAAUU